AUACGUAGGUGACAAGCGUUAUCCGGAUUUACUGGGCGUAAAGGGCGUGUAGGCGGUCUUGCAAGUCAGAAGUGAAAUUCCUGAGCUCAACUCGGGCGCUGCUUCUGAAACUGCAGGACUUGAGUGCUGGAGGGGAUAGCGGAAUUCCUAGUGGAGCGGUAAAAUGCGCAGAUAUUAGGAAGAACACCGGUGGCGAAGGCGGCUAUCUGGACAGUAACUGACGCUGAGGCGCGAAAGCCAGGGGAGCAAACGGGAUUAGAUACCCCGGUAGUCCUGGCAGUAAACGAUGUAUGCUGGGUGUGAGACUAGCGAUAGCUUCGUGCCGAAGUUAACGCGAUAAGCAUACCGCCUGGGGAGUACGGUCGCAAGAUUGAAACUCAAAUGAAUUGGCGGGG
rnacentral:rRNA from 1 species